rnacentral:lncRNA from 1 species
GCCACAUGCUCCUAUUGUAAUAAACACUUUAAAAUGAUGGCAGGUCAGGCUAUUUUUGGACGUCUCAAAAACACAUUUUGUGUCUCACAGCAAACAUCAACCAAACGUUAUUCCUGAGCUGAAGAAGUACUGCAUGUAAAGAUAACCUUCAAGCAUACCGGUACCCGGUAAAGACCCCAAACUGUUGUUCUAAUCAGAAGAAAUGUCCUAAAUUUGUCUCCACAGACAUAAUCAGUUUGGUUUCCCAAAGAGGUGAAAUCAUAGUGGGAUAUAUCCGCCAUGUGACCUUAGCCAGUGACACUUUAUUGUUGUUAGAACAAGACAGAAAUGUGUGUGCGCACAUACACACCAGUUGCUUCCAUCUCACAAAGGUUAAAUGCCUGUCUUUGCUCCCAAAAAAAGGCAAAAGGCAAUAGGGUUUGGCAUGAGGGGGGUCUUAAUAUAUUGCCUAUAUUUAGGAACUGAGUUAUGGCCCAUGGGGUAUUUGGGUGGGAUCGUGUGACAUAUGAAAAGUUCUGGAAAUGCUGAGUGGAUUUGCAGUAUAAGGAGUAAUAUUAUGGUAGUGGGGCUGAUUGCAGUCAGUGACAGAUAGUGUGACAGGUGUUCCAGGACGAGGGUGCAGUGUCAGAUGUACCUCUCAUUUAGAAAUGGGCCACUUGCUGACUUUUUUAAUGCUCAUGUAACACUUUUUAGCUGCUUUCCUUCAUGGCUUGACACACAGGCCCCCAAGGUCCAGAUGAUUCAGGGAUCCUUCUGCGCUGUUUCCAACAGAGUGCUUGCUGCUUGUUCUUAAUUUAUUUCCUUUUUGUCCUGUGGGUUGGAUGGCAGAGAAAAUGCCAGAACACAAAGCAGGCCAAGUGGGGCAGCCUGGACAUCCAUGGCCAGGAACCUGGAACAGACGCCAUGCUGGUCACUACAUCACCGGCUUGCACCGGGGACAGCAGCAAGGGGCAGAACAGAAGCCCUGCAGAUGUUCUCCAUCACCCAGCCCACAGCAGCACCUGCCCCUGAAGACCUUGAGCUCCACCGCUCGUUUCCAAACCUGCAGCAGGCCCGUUCCCUCCCUGGGAUUUUCUGAUGAAUGUUUAAUCUGCCAAACAGUGAGGUCACUGCACGGUGACACAGCGCAAUUCUCGUGUGACUAAUAUUGCAUCUUGACAGGGUUUAUUUUGAAAGUUUCACUUCAACAUUAGUGAUAAAAACAACUCAGGAUGAUUGAUCAUUAGCUCCGCUGCCACCGCUGCCGCUGCUACUGCAAUCCCAAUAAGUGCCUAAAAUAAAUGGGUGAGAUUUGAAACUGCA